ensembl:lncRNA
GGGCGGAGCUGCUGCCUUUAUGGCAGGGCAGCAGGGGGUGAAGUGGAGCCAGGACAGGUGGCCCGAAUGAGGCAAUUAGGCCAGCCAUGACCCAUCACACCGAAGGGCAUAAAGCUGUGGAGGAGUUGGCCGAGAGGUAACAAUGUGGAUCGUCUGCUGGUGAGCGGAGGGAGGUUUUGUCUUGCUGGUGGAGUGUCUAAUGGCUGCUGUGCAUUAGUCAGCAAGUGGUAACAGUGCCUGAGGAGAUACAUUAAGGGAAACAGAAGGCUCCUCUUCCUCAUCUCUAACGUGUUUGGCUGCAGACACCACAAGCUGAAAUUCUGAGUGACAAGCAUCAUUUCUAAGACCACAAUUUCACUUGGAAAAGUGGAGCAGAGUUGGAGGAGGAGAUGGAGGAAGAGAGAUUAAACAACUCAGAAAACAGAUGGAGAAAUGGAAUAGAAUCACUACUGUACCCUGAGAAGAGACUUGGAUGACAGCCAAAAGCCUUAUCUGGAUGAGGUCCUUAUUAAAUAUUCAAGAAGGGCCUCAACUUUUGACAUAGCCUGGCAGCUGGUGAUGAAAUGGCCACACCUGACAAGCAAACCAUCACACACAAAAAAAGAGAACAACUUUUUUCUUCACGGGAUUGGCAACUUGGGUCAAGUAAAUGAACAAGAAUCCAACAAGACUUCAAGGCUUUUGAAUUAUAUCUAAGUUAUUACAUUAUGGAAAAAAACAGUUAAAUAUGUUUUCUCUACAUAGUAUAUUCUUCAUGAAUUAUGAAGGCAUUUCCAGGAACUGGUUUUGGUUUGUUAAAAUGUGUUUUAUGGAAAAUAAUUGUUUAAUUUGACAUUUUUGCUUGCUGACAGGGUUCAUGCUUAACAGUGACUACAUUUGUUAAAUACUGUAGUUGAACUUUGUCUCCAAUGCUUCUUCCAAUAUGCUUCGUAAAAAAUAUCUGGUUACCAUUUACGUGCCAGACUAUUUCUGUCCAUACAUAAAGCAUGCACAUAAACUACACCUCCGACAUUCUUUCAGUGGUAAGUUUCAUGCCCUCCCCAGGACAGCCUGUGAAGUGCUGUGUUAGGCAAUCAUAAAAAUAUCAUAAAAAUAAUUUUCUUCAUUUUUGUUCGAGAGAUUACAAACCCCACUGCACUUCCAAAUAAUUAGGUUUAGAUCUCUGCAUAUUUGCUUCAAAUAAGAAAAUUAACUUUGGUUCUUAAUGUAAAUCAUAAGUUAUGUAAGCACAGAAACACACUGUUAAAGUGUAGCUAAGAAAAGUAUGUAUUGAGACAACCAUUCUGGAAGACGCAUAAACCAGACAAGAAUAUUUACUAUGAAACAAGGCCAUCUAUGAAACUGCACCUAUUCUGGGGAACUGCAGACCAUUAAGCAUGUGCGGAUUCCUGAAGUGGCUUAAAAGGAAGACUGAUGGACCAGUUGGCACAUACACAAGCACACCUGCACUGCAGUGUUUUAGAGGAAGUAGGAUUAUUUUUAUAACUUGAAAUUUUCAAGAUACACAUUUAAAGGACAGGGAGAGUCCAAGGAAAAAAAAAAAUCUUUGAUUUCCUCCAAAUAAUAUUAUUAAAUCCUGCCCAUGAGCUUGUGUAUGUGUGCAUACACUGUCAGAGGCAUAUACAGUUAUGCAUACCAAAACAUUAAAGGAAAUAUGAUCUCAAGCCUGAAAAAGCAUACGAAAGAUUUUAGAAUAGUGAAUUAGAUGAGAAAAAAUUAUAAAAGGUAAUGCAUUUCAGGUGAGACAAAUUCAUUUUUAAGCCUUGUGGAAGCAAUCCACCUUUAAUAAUGAUAGAGGAGCACGUGGCUUUCUAAAAAACUCAUUCUGAUUAAUUUUUAAAAAUGCAUGAAAUCCAACUGAUUCUCACUACUGAACUCUCCUCUGGUCGUAAGGCAGGAAGAAAACUGGCAUGCUUAAGCAUAAAUUUGGCUGCAUUAGUAGGAAAUCUACUGUAGUCAUAAAUGGAAAGUAUUCAAACUAAAAUGUCAGUAGUAGAGGAUGACAGGAGUUAGUGUUAGAGGUCCAGUAUUUACACAAAUACAAUGUAGACAGCAAUGUGGAACACAAAAAUUUCCAAGUUUGCAGAUAGCACUUAAUUAGCAGGUACUGCAAAUAACGAAGGAAUGUGCUGUGAGAAAUCAGAGACUGAAAUGGAAGAAAACCUUGAACUGUCAGGUGAGAGAGGCUCUAAUUACAGUGGUGUUUUCAAAAGGCAACAUACAGAACAUCUUUAAUGAUAAACUUCUGUGUCAGACCGUUACAAGUUUCAGUAAGUCGUGUAUUCAUAGUUGUUGCUGUUGGUUUUAUUGUGACAUUGUUUUGGUGUUUUAUUUCUCAGAAGCUUUAGACUUCUUACUCUAAUGAGUGAGUCACAGAACUGCAGUCAUUCCAUGUCCAUUGCAGGAGCUUUGGCUCAGAUACACCAAAACACUUAGGCAUUUACAAGGAUUUUGACAAAAAACAAGGCCAAAAUCACUAUGCAACUAUUCCACAAAAAAGAAUCUACCAAUAAAGUUCCCCAUGGUGCCUGAUGGUCUGCUUCUUUGUAUGCUCAGCACAGCCUUCACUUUGGCAGUAAGUUGAUAGGUAGCUGCUAUCUAAGUCUUGCACAUAAUGCUGAGGAUCAUACUGAGCCAAGGAGGCAGAAAGAUGUUCCCAUUUCCUUUUCGUGCCACAGCUCGGUCCUCCAGGUCAGCUAGAUGGAACGCUCAGCUGACAUAGGUGAGAAAAUAGGUUCUUAAUUCAUCCAAGGAUAUUCCUAACAUAUAAAUGAUUGUGCCAGCCUCCUUCUCAGGAGAGAUCUCACUCAGGGUGGCCAUUCCCUUGUCUAGCUGAAUCUUGAAAAUCUCCAGGGUUGGAGAUGCCCACCUCUCUUUUGGAUGUCUGUUUCUGUACUGUGCUACCUGCUUUAUUAAAGCCGCUCUCCUUCUAGUCAGUCUGAGCCUCUCAAGUUGCAAUUCGUGCCAACUUCCUCUUCUUACACUGACUACUCCUAUUGAGAAGAGCUGGACUUCUUCCUAACUCCCCUUCCAGUAGCAUCAGACUAUGUUUAUAUGCUCCCUUGUUUAGCCAAGCAGGCCUUCUGCUGAAAUUCUCCAUAUUAAUGCACAACAGGAUAGUUUGCUCUUGAGCUCUUAAACAGUUUUCUCUAAAAAUCAGCCAGCUCUCUUGGGCACCUCUUCCCUUUAUGGCCCUUGACCAGGUGAUUCUGCCUAGCAGUUCUCCAAAUAGGCCAGAUCUGCUCUCCUAUUCCACUGCCUCUUUUUCCAGCCUCCUCCAGAUCCCAAGCUGUCAUGUCACAGCCAGUAUACCCUCUCUGCCUGCACUUAUCCUUAGUUCUUUCCCAGUGGCAGAACAGGUGCAGCAUUACAUCAGUUGGUCCCUCUACAAUUUGCACUAUAAAACUAUGGUUUGUAAUAGCAGUGAGAAUAGUCUCCCUAAUGUUAACAUUCUUCACUCUGCCUCUUGUUUUGAAAAUCAACGCAUUUGGGUUGAUAUUUAGUGAAAAAUGUAAAAUGGUGCUGUAAAAAAAUUUAUCACUGCAGGUGACUGUUAGGAUUAUGAGCUCAGUCAGAUAAAGUGUAAAUUUUUAACUGUGGGAUCUCCUUCCUAAGCUGUACAGAAGUUCACCUGAAGUGCUAAUAUUAAAAUAAAAAGGACAGUACACGCUGCCAGUUGGAAUUCUGCUUAUGAUUUGAAAUUGAACAAAGAGUUAAAACCUACAUAUAUCAAAGCAUUCUCAAACAUGGGCCAUCACUAUCUUUUUUUUUUUUUCCUCCAAAAAAAAGUAACCUUAUCUUUGGGAGGUAUACAAGAAGGAGACUUUAGGAGCAAUUGGUCUGACACCAAGGGAUACCAUUUUCUUGCUCUUACAAAGCAGACAGGCAGCUUCUCCCAGAGAAACCAGACUGCUGAUCAAGAAGCUGAACAAUAUAAUUAAAACCCACCUUCACUGAGGGUAUUGCAUUGACCAUUUGCAGACUGGUCAUAUCCCUGGUACUUCAAAAAAAUACCAGAAAAGUAUCCAUGCACUGUCCUAUUGCUUUGUGCAUCUCACAGGUGUUACUGUGAGCUUACAGUACCGUGUGGAUUUUACAUUCAAGCACGCAGACAAAUGAAAAGUUAGUAACAGGCAACAUGCAAAGGUAAGAGCAUACUGUUCCUUGCUCUGCUACUCCAAGUUUGUUUAACUAAGGCCCAAAUGAUUUCAGAAACGUGGCAUUGCAGCAGUACAGCAAGCCAUAGAGUGCACUAAGCAAAGAAAACACCCAGGAUUGUGUUGAGUUAACCAACAGAGUUCUGAGCUUAGCUGCUGUCUCUGGCUGCACCUGUCCUGUCAUCUUAGUUUGAGGUUUGAACUUACACUUGAUCCCAAAUUCCUUAAUCAUCAGAUGUGCCAGCAAGUUGGCUUCUACUUGCUCUCCUGCUGAGAGAGCCAACUGGCUUUUCAGAUAGGGGAAUUCAGGCACUAUUUUACAUCUCCUCUGUAUGGAGAGGCAAUAUGAUUCCAGCAGACUUUCUUACUAGAUUUAUGUUCAAAUCUGAGUAGGUUUACAGAAGGUGAUAUUAGUAGACAUGUGGUUACGAGGUUUAAAAAUUACUGUAAUAUCCAAGACUUAAGUUAUGAAUGAGUAUGUGACCAUAAUUAUUAUUGGCACCUUUUAUUUAUUACUCUGUAAUUGCAUAGAAAAUUGUCAUUUCUCAUGUCCUGUCAGGUCCUUAAACACGGGCUGUAAUGUUCUCAGACAUUAUUACUCAACACAGCAUAUUUCUGCUCUGAAAAGCAUCACAACUCAUAGAAUCAUAGAAUGGUUUGGGUUGGAAGCGACCUUUAGGAUUACCUAGUUCCAACUCCCCUGCUAUAGGCAGGGAAACCUCCCACUGGACCAUCCCAAUUACCAUCCUCCAGUUGAUAAUGGCUACCCUCCCAGUAACUGUAAACAAAACCUGGUACAUUUCUGGGCAGUACACUUCAAAAAAAUCAUUGCAAGUUCACAAGCUAAGCAAACUGUCAUCUUUUUAAGCUAACUCUCAGUUCUCACCCAUAUAUAAAUUUCUUUACAUGUGCCAAAUCUGAGAUAAUCUUUACUCUCCAUCUGCACAACUGCAACUUUCACCCAGGCUCAUUCCACCUGGUGAGUGUGUCGUCUUGCUCUUCGGGUUUGAAAAUGCCCACACGGUUAUUGCAAAGUUAUCCUUGUACCCAUCUAUGUUACCUCUAUCAUCCCCUUCAGCUCCAUCCACAGUUACUCUAUUCUACACCACACUAAACUGCAAGACUCUUCAUUCCCUAUAUUUUUUCAGUACUGUUUGGUUAACUCUGCUAAUAAUUAAAUGCUGUUAUGUAUCCAAACAAGCAUACCUACACAUUUGUCAUGUCUCACUUUUCUCCCUUCAUACUUGCAAGGUUCUCCCAUUAUUUUCCACCAAACUACUUCAAGGACUCUUCUCGGCCAACCUACUCAGACAACAGUUUGGUAAUACAGGGCUAUUUAUAUGCUUAGCCCAUCGUUUGCACUAUUGAUCUGCAGUUUCCAUCCCCCUCUCCUUUCUACAGGUUUAUUGUCUUGUGGCUCACAAUCAGAUGCAAAACUGUCGGGGCUAUUGGCUUUCUUCUUUUGUUUCAUGCUUAUGUAGUAUCCAGUACAGUACUUUCAUGAGUAGGCCUCUGUAAAUUAGAAAAGUGUGUAUCAUGUAGUUUGUGCAAACAUAAUGUUUGUGACUAUUUUGUUCUGGACUAAUGGAUCACUAUAGAAUUCAAGAAGUGAUAUUUGAAUUGCCCUAGAAUGCAGGAAACAGUAAUUUGUGCAACUCUGAAGUUGCAGCCUCAAGAUCAGGCUCACUGCUCUCAUAAACAUAAAUGGAGGCAGCUGAGAAAAAGCAUUUCCUUUUUGGCAUGAAAUUGUCAGACAGGCUGUCAGUCUGUAGUGGUGCUAAGGGUGCUAAGUAGGUCUGGGCCAGCAAGUCAAAUGGUAGCUGCAAAUACAUCCACCUGUGGGACCUGUUUCCUCAGGAAGAGUUUGAGAGAGUAGUGUCCUUCAUCUCCCACGUGCUUCAUUCUCUUCCAAGCAAGCUAAUCUGUUGAUGCGCUGAUGUCAAGCAGACAGAUGAACCAAGUCCAGCAAAUGAAUACACAAAACAAACUUUCAUCCAGCACUUUUGGCAGCAAGUCAUUUGAGAUUUGCAGGAGUUGCUGUUAACUCCUACCCUGAAAAUUCUCACUGUUUCUGCAAGCUCGAACAGAUGAUUUUGCUAGGUGAGAGCAAGGUAAAAUCCUGCUUCCAAGAGUGCUUAAUUAGUCCUGCCAGAGUGGACCAUUUCAUCUGGUCACACCAAUGAUGAUCUCUGCCCUGCUGGGGCAAAGCCAGGGGGAGGAGCAGAGCUUGGGCUGCCUUUGACACUAUUUCAGGCAAGUUCCCAUGGGUAUGCCAGGGCAAGACCUGGGCAUUCCGUCCCCAAAGUUGCUAUGGUGCUCUCUGGUCUGCUCUCCGGGCAGGAUGUGCAUCCCUUAGGGCCUGUCCAGGCUGCACUGCCCCAGUGUCUAGGACCCAGAAUUUGAAAACCAAUGGCUUUUGUCCUGUUGGAGAACACUACAUUGACUUGGAUAUUGUUGCUUUAAGGAUGACUGAAUCAUUCUUUUUUUUUUUUUUUCCUUCCUUUUAUUGCCUCUUUCAUUUUCAUCUGGGUAUGAAACCAACCACAUUUCUGAAAACUUCGGAAUGUGUCAUGACAAGAAAAUGAUUCCCAGCUAUAGGUUGUUGCUCUGGUUAAAAGCAUCUAUUUGCAUAAAUGAAUAAAUACAUAAAUAAAUAAGGUCUGGAAAAUUAAGUCUAUUUCUAUAUCUUGACUCAUAUUGAAAAAUGUGAAACCUUGCUAAUCUUCUGAUUUAUAUUAAUACAUGGAAGCAUAUAUAUGCUUUCCCUGAAUUCAUAAUGUUUCACUUAAUACUUCUGAUCUAAAAUGUGUUUCUGGCUUUUACUUAUAGAUCAAUAAAAUUAACAAACAAGAAACAACGCUGGCUUAUUGUCUGCUCUGAAUGACAGUGAAAAACAAUCUGAAAUUCACAAAAUAUUGUUGACCUUUCAGCAGUAAAUCCAAUAAAAGAGAAAGUGGGUCAAACUGAAGCCAUUUAAGGCGCAUCUUGAAGUUAAUCAGGACUGAACCAUCUCAUUUCCCUCAGCCUCUCCACAGAGGGCAAAUGCUCCAGUCCCCAACCAUCUUGGUGGCUUUUUACUAAACUUACUGCUGUUUACCAGUGGCUUUCUUUUGUGAAGGCUCGUAAGUGGAUGAUCUGUUCCAGUCUUGAAGCUUUGGCAGACAGUUUACAAUGGGGAGAUCCAAAGAAACUUGACCUCCAUCUGUUCCUGAACGAACAAAAGUCUUGCAGAACCGAGUAGAAAAUUUAGAUUACACUGUAGGCACAGUUACCACAUAAAACCCUGCUGAAGACUGUUCCACACUUGUAACAGCUCAAAAGAAAAAAAAAAAUGGUUGCAAAAUGAAAGGGAUAGCAAAGUCAAUGCUUCUUAUCCACAGGUAUUUGUCACUGAGCAGACUGUUUAGGGAUUUGCUAAGCAGAGACUUCAUGUAUGCUAAGUGUAUUUCACUCUCACUCUAGAAGGGAAGGCUGCCACCCUGCUUAUGCAUGCCAAAGUCCCAGGGAACAUCUUUGACUCAGUUUGCAGCCAAGAUACCAUGUCCAAUCUGUGUCUAAAUAUAAUUGUUUUUGCACAGCAUCUAUGAGUUUUUGACAUUUUCAUCAUCCAGGUUCUCCUCAAUUUCAGUUCAAAGGACAAAAAUAUUCUCUUCAUCAUUCAAAUUCCUCAAUCCUCAACUAGUAUGGAGCCUAUUAAAACUUGAAAGGUUUUAAGAUGCCAGUAGAAAGGCACAUUGAUAGGACUGACAGCACGAGAUUCAGUUACCUGAGCAGUGCCAUUUCAGACACUGUACACUUUCCACUGAUACUCCAAGGGGUCCUACAGUUCCCCCUAUGUUUCACAGCUCUGCCAGAUCUGUACAAUUAUCUUGGAUGGUGGAAGGCAUCUUAAAUGACACUGCACUUUCAUUUAGGCAACUCUGUUUCUCUUAUGUUGUAUUGUUUCCUUGUAUCACAUUUCCUGCCUUAUGCACUGUUGCAGCAAAUCAAAUUUAGGAAUGAAAUGCAGCAGAAAAAAUCCCAGUGAUCCACGAGAAUUAAAAGUCCUGCACACUGAUUCACACAAAAAAAUGUGAUGAAGGAUGCUACUCAAAGUUUGGUGCUCAAGCAAGAAGGUGACAGUCACUGUACCUGUGGGCAAGAGAACACAUCAACGGAGCCUUCCCAAAGGUCAGCCAAAGAGAUGGAUUUUGACACAGAUUUCCAAUACUCUGCAGGAAAAUGAAUAACGGACACACGUGAGAAUACUGCAAUAUCCUUCCUGCAUUUUCCAAGUUGUACUACAAAUGAGAUAAUAGACAGAAUGUUUUAGUGUUUUUAAAUGGAAAAAGAUAAUCCAUUAUAGUGCAAACAAUUCUGGUAAGUAAUAAAAAUAUUUUUCACAGAAAUGUAAGUGAUAUUAAAGGUAUGCCACUGAAAAACAAAGAUGACAAAUUAAAACUGCAGUGUUCACACAGAGUUUUCUGUGAGCAGCUGCUUGUUUGCAUAUAGAACUGAAGAAUACAUUUGUAGGUGCAAUCCAUUAUCUUUUUAUACUUCAAGUUUUCUAAUUUUCGUGAUUAACACCAGCUAAGACUUUCCCAAAGAAGACUGGAUUUAUGGAUUAAGGUUAUAGUAGUUACAGUACAGGGCAGAAGCAAAAUCACGACUGAUAAUUUUUACAAAAUCAAUUUCUCAUGUUUCAAUUCAUUUCUCAUGUUUCUGAGAGAUUUUCAUUUAUAAACAGACACAACUAUGCUUAGAUAUAGCAUGAACUCUAUCGUGCAUGGAACACAAUCUAAAAGAAAAUCAGCUAGUGGUUUUUUAUUGUCUUUUGCUCACCACCUUCCUUGAAAAAGAAAAGUUCAGUGGCUGUCCUUACAGAACAAGACUGAUGAAUUAGAAAGUCAUCAACCUAUCUGUCCAUAUAAGGACACAAAAAAAAUGCAAAAUCUUGUUGCUUUAUGCGCAAUGCUGUUACAGUAGUUUGGCAAAACACCCCAAAGACCUCAGUCACAACAGCUGAUGCUCCUUUAAGCCAUCAAUAACCUGCCAUACGUACACUAACAAAUAACAAUAUUAGAAAUAAGAAUAUGCAUUAAGUCAGGAUUUUUACUGCCUUGUUGCAGGUGCAAAGACAGAAGUCUAGAGCUGUGAGACCAGCUGCCAGAUCUGGUGGCUGAGCUGAGAACAGACUCCAGGUGGGUGCUUUGCCACCGGAGUUGCAGGAAUCCAGCUGCAACAGCUCUGCUCUCACAGCAGAGGAAUGGGUGAGAUUUAGAAAGGCCCGUAGGUCCCUCUUUCUUCUGAUUAAUUCCAUUUAAAUACCAACAGAGGUUGGCUGUCUUUUGAAAGGUAACCACGAGAAAAAACCAGAGAGGAGUUUAUGUCAAAACUGUUUUGAAACAUUCUUGACCUCUGAAAGUGAGACACAAAUUCAAACAGUGGUUGAAGCCACAUCUGCUUAGCAAAAAAUCAUGAAAGGAACAAGCCUUCUGUCUGAAGAAACUAUUUUUGGUUUCUGGUGACAGCUUUGACAGACUUUCUCAAAUAAGCUUGUAUCAAUUUAAAGCACACUUGGUCUCAUUCCAAGGAAACUGUGGCAAAUGUGGUGGGCUUCCUAGGAAGAGUAUGAUUAGAAAAGGUUGCAAAUGGUAUGUGAAUUUAACAACUGCUAGCAGGGUUGUCCCUCCUUAGUGUGUAUGUCUCCACAGGAUAAAGGCCUCUUGAAAAGUAUGCAAGAUAGUUUUAAUCCCAUUAGUACAACCAAGGAUGUACUGUUAUUAGAUAACAUUUUUUAGGCAUAUGGUUAGCAAGGCUGAUUAUCCGCUUCUACACAGGCAAAACACAUUCCAACAACAUAAAAUUGUGACCAAGCAGCAUGCAAUCUGGCCAAACUACAACUACUUCUAAACUACUUCUGCUAAGAUCCCACCGACAUUAAAAUUUACAAGUAACGUCAGGAAAAAUAUUCCUAAAAAUCCUAUCACCUUCUGCCUGUCACAGCAUUUUCAGUGCUUUUCAAAUGAAAUAACAUAAUGAAGAUACUACACCAGUUGAUUUUGAGGACCCAAGAAAAAAAGUCAGAGCUAUGGUCUGUACGACUUGAUUUUCUCAGGUCAUUUUAUUAUAGAAUUAAUUUCUUAUAUCCAAAUGAAAUUUAGUUCAGAAGAAAUUCUCAUAGGGCAUGUGUACUAUACACUUGUUUGCCAUAGAUUUUCCAGGUGAAUAGGUUGAAAAGGUUGUAAAUGUGUAAAAAUAAUGUAAGUAUUAAGAAGCUUUAUACAUCACAUGCGUAAAAUAGGUUAAAAUUAUUCAUAUGACAAAGCUAUUUUUUUAAAAAGUAAUAAAUGGCCCUAUACAUUAACAUUUCACUUACAAGUUAACACAAUUUUUUCUUCCCACAUCUUUUAGCUGUAGAAUAGUCCUGUUUCCUUUUCUUGGGUGGAAGGAAUUCAAAGGCAAAAGAGUCUUAUGAAAAGCCCCAUGAGUCAUUAUUUGUCAAGAAAAAGAUGCACAGGGGAAGAGCCAGAAAGGUUGAGGACAGCAAAGACAGUCCAAUAGCUGAGUUACAUGCUUCCCAGGACAAAUGGAUUCUGUCUCUAAUUCUGCCAAAGAAUUGCCAGGUAAAACUUGCACCCAAGUACUAAGGCUCAUGUGAGAUGUUGCUGCUGACACUGAAAUGCCUAUGUCAGGCCCAAAUCUUUCCUACGCCCCCCAUUUUGCCACCAUUUUCUGUACAAAUGGGAGCCACAGGAAGCUUGGAGCAGGUGUCACACCACCAAACAUGCAGAAUGGAAAUAAUUUGUUAGGAAAAGCUGAAGAAAGGAGUCUGUCUGAUUCUUUCCUUUCUGGAUGAGACAGCUCCCUGAGAUGAGAAUUCAAAGGCCAGAACCAUAUUCCAUCGCUUAGUUUAUCCAGCUCUGCAUAGAUGCCAGUUCUACAGGGUAGUGCUCCUGUUCCCUGAAAUGAUGACUAGAAUACUCACUCAAAAUUCACAUACUUUAUAGUCUUUUCUCAGCUUCAAACAUAUAUUAAUUACUUAGGAGAGAAGAACAGCCUAUCUCUGGAUUGAAAAAUAAGUAGAAAUUUAUAGAAUCAUAGAAUCGCUAAGGUUGGAAAAGACCCACAGGAUCAUCCAGUCCAACCAUUUGCCCUUCACCAAUGGUUCUCACUAAACCAUAUCCCUCAACACAAUAUAACAAAUUACAUAUAACCAAUAUAUGCCUGGCUUGUCAGUCCCAUCAAUGACAUUUCUUCCCUGCAACUCAGUUCUAACCUUCAUUUGCUUUGCUCUUUAUCUGCCACUUUCUUGGCAUUGUCUCAGUAUCUUGCUUAGUCAACUUUAGGUUCCAGGUGUCAUCUCAGUUCAUUCCCAAAUUCCAUUCAAUAAUUCAUAGGACCAGACUUCUUGGCUAGCUACCACACAGGCAUCACUGCCUGCUAAAACGUCACCAGCCUCUGCUUCCAAUGCAUCUCUUAAGCUCCUUCAGAUUAGCUGUCCCUUCUCCUUUUAAAAUAUACAUCUUCCUGCUCUACCACAUCUGGGCAACGUGAGAGGGAUUUAAAAAAGAGACCCUCUUAGUUCUCAUGAACAAACAGUUCCUAACUAUUUUGAUACACUAUGGGUAUUUUUUGGUAAUAUUUUAAAAAUUUUAGCAGCCUGAAAUUCCCUUUUUUGUGGCUUUGAAGCAUUUUUUUAGCUUAUAUAUGUAUAUUUUGAAUUGGGGGAUGUGGGAAGAGGAGAAUGUGUUAACAUCUUCCCAGAAGUUUCUUAAUCAUUCUGAGCACAGAAGUGAGUCAAAGCCAGAAACUAAUAGGAAAUGAAUACAAUUAAUGCUGCAACUUUUCUAAAAUAAACAUAUCAAAACAAUGAAAUUCAAUGCCUUCUGACAAGCUAAGUGUGUAUUUCUUUGCUUAUGUCUUUGAAUAGCAGUUAUUGUGAAGCAACCAUACAGUCAGCCUCCAAAUGAGGCAUACGGUGAUAGAAUUCAGGGAAAUGAGUACCUGGGAAAAUCCACAUUUCUCAGUAAUUACAGAGCAUCACUACAUCUGUGGUGGCUGUCUAGUUUUCCAACAUGAACACAGAGGAAUUACAUUAUGUGGAGAAGGAAAGUGCAAUUAUUUACGCUAGGUGUAUUCAAAAUUAACACGUAAUGUGUUGUCUUGCUAUGUAUUUUUCACAACUCAAAGUUCAUGGUGGAGACCCCUUCCUUACAUAAAAUUUAAGUGAUCUACAGAAAGGAAAAAGUCGGUAAGGACAGAGUAGUGCUACACACAGCAGUAAUUUUAAGAAACAAACAUAUGCCUCCUCUGCUAUUUCACUUGCCUCAACUGCUUCCAAGUCAGGUUGAGGGAAACAGCCUGCAAGAUAGGGCCUGCCUUGUAUUGAACAGUAUUUCUAGAGGCAUGUCUUCCUAACUCUUUCAUCCUUCAAUGACCUGAAACACACUGCAAUAAAGUUUUGCUUCUGGGUAUUCAUCUCAAAUUGAGAUUCUAGCAUUAGUUUACACAUCGCAAAUGACAUUACAGGAAAUGUAAAACAUUCUGCAGUUUAAUCUUUUAAGUGUUCUCAAAAGGAAAACAGUUCAAUGGAUAUUUGUUUAACAUCUGGCAUGUUUGAUCUUCCUGAGAAAUUGUCACGUGAAACAAUCUAUUACAGAACCUUUUUAUUUUUAAUCUUACACUGAUUACCUGCUAUUGGGCACUCCUUGAAACAGAACAUUAGAUUAGAGAUCAAACAAUGUUUUACAUGUACAGAAUUUGAUUAACGAAUUAAUGCAAUUCUGUUAUUCAACAGCAAAAAGUGGACUAUUCAUAAAUGGAAGCAGAGUAGCAAAGAAAUCUCAGUCAAAUGAGAUAAAAUAAAUUUUCAGUACAAAGAUUGGAUGAAAACCAUUUUUACCUGCUUCAGUGGCACUACACUUCUAAACAGGGAACAGUUUCCAUUCUAUGACCUAUUUACAUAACACUGUUAUCUCAUAAGCUGUAUGCUUUUUACUGCACUACUGAGUAAAAAGUUACAGAAAACUCAAUUGUGACAGCACUGAAUUAUGCUUAUAAACACUGAAAUGCAGCUACACAUCAAAAGGAAGAAAAUGAAUGGUUAAACAAUCUGAAUAGUUCAGGAAACAGAUUUUUCAUCUUUGGAUUGAUUGAGUUAAUGUAGUCAUUUAAGAGAGGCAUAUGCAUAGGCACUGUGCAAACUGUUGUUAGACAGACUAUAUAACAUGAAAAUAAUUAUCAUACAUGCACACAGCAAGUAGUUCCAUGUGUUCUUGGAAGUGAUGCAUCUUCUUGUGUAGUUAGACAAACAGACAGAUUUCAGGCUAUUUGUGAGCAUUCAAAUGACCAAAUUUAUGGUUGUGACUAUUCUAAGAAAAGAUUUUCUAUUUUUACCACAAGGAAGCAUAUUCACAAGCUUUUGUGUUCUGUGGCUGAUUAUGUAAAGGUUGCUCUGAAAGUAAUGUCACCUGUUUUAUUAUGUUGAACCACAACAUCAGAGGUGGAUGUCGGUGGUAUGGCAAUAGAGGUUGAAUCUUCCCACCAAUAUUCCAUUGCAUUUUGUUGCUGCGUGACAGAUGGCAGCAGAGGGGCAGUCUGACAGAACGGCAUCUGACAUAGAAGUGCAUAUGAAGCAAAGGUGUGUCACUGAAUUCCUCUGUGUGGAAAAAACAGCACCCACUGACAUUCUUCAAUGUUUGGUGAACCUUUGUGGAGACCAAAGAGCAAAUGUGAGCACAGUGAGGUGGUGGGUAGUGCAUUUCAGCAGUGGCAACAGUGAUGUGAAAGACAAACCACAUUCUGGACAGCCAUGCACUGCAGUAACACCACAAAAUGAAAGUCUUGGUGAGCUCAUCCAUGAGAACUGGCAGAUUACAACCAGAGAACUACGUAUGAAGUUGAAUAUCAGCUUCAGUGCAUUAGAAACAACAAUGGCAACAUUGGAAUAUCACAAAGUUUGUACCAGGUUCCACAAAUGCUCACAUAGGAACAGAAAGAAGUUUGCAAGUUUGCCGGAAUCUACUGAACAAAUAUGAGGCUGAAGGUGACAGGUUCCUGUGAAAGUGAAACCAUUAACUCUGACCACUCAUCACAACUUAGUCAGCCGAUGGCUCAAACUUCCAGAGUCAGGCCAGAGAAGAAGAAAGCCUUUCUCCUGCAAUAUUAUAACACCAGGCUCCAUAUCAGUUUGAAGACCAUGGAAGACCUUGCCCAUCUUGGCUGGACUGUCCCACCACACCCAUUGCACAGUCUGGAUUUGAUGCCUUCUGAUUUCUACCUGGUAAUCAUGCUGUCAUAGCACCUGUGAAACAGUGGGUCACCUCCACUGAUGCAGAUUUUUAUGAGCAUGGCAUGCUGGCUCUUGAUCUUCGGUGGUGAAAAUACACAGUUAAUGGUGGUGACUAUGUUGAAAAACAGUAUUUUGUAGCUGAGAAUUUGCUCAGUCAAACAAUGUUAUUGUGCUCUUUGUUGUAGUUUCCAUGGAAAAAAUAGGAAGCAUUACUUUCAGAGCAACAUAGGCACAUUAAAUCAAUGCAAAAUCCAUUAAAUUUCUAGAUCAUCUUGCAAUUGCAAUAGCAAGAAUGUCAUCAAUAAAUAUUCCAAG